AUGACAUGCAUUUUGGUGGAAUCAAACUGCCCUGUUGGUGCUUUGGAAAAUUCUUCACUUUGGGUCUCUUGAAAGGGGAGAUAAUAUGUACAGGAGAAAUGCGGCCAGCAUUAUACUUUGAGGACAAAAAAGCUCUUAAUCUCUAUACUGGCAAUGAGAUCUGUAGGAAUUCAACUUUCACCAAUAUUACAGUCUACAUUUUGAAGAGGGUUUGUUUCCAGGUCAUUCUACCAAUAUUUAUGUCCUGCGGUUACUGGGGGAAGUAUGCUCAUGCUGGGUGUUAUCGUGAUGGUCUUAAUGUUUUCUAUGGAACUAAAGGCUAUGGAAUCAUAUCAGGGGACUGGGAUUUGUAAAAAAAGGUGAAGCUCAUGGUGUUAUCAGCUGUGUCUAUCCUGGAUGAAGCAGGAGGAAUUAGAGUAUAACAGUUAAACUGUCUGGAGCUUAAUCUUGCAAAAAAGAACCCUUCCCACAGCAGGAAAUUUGGACUCGAGGCAUAUGAAGAUCCGUCCUUGGUAAGAUGAAGAUGAUGAACCAAGUCAUGCUCUUUAGUUUAAAACUGAUUAAAGUAGUAGCGCAAAUCAGCAAAGUGAAGAUAUGUGUUGUACUCCUAUAGCAUCCCUUUGGCUGUCUUAGCUCAACAGGUAGAGCGCAUGGCUUUUAGUCAUGAGGUUGUGGGUUCAACUCCCACAGACAGUGACUGAAUAAAUGCUACAAUGUUGGUAUUUCUGAGAACGUGCUCAGGCUGCUAGGUUCAUGUAAGGUAGGUGAUUCUCCAUUAAAACUUCUGAAACAGAACCAUUAAUAU